AGUCGAACGGCAGCACGGACUUCGGUCUGGUGGCGAGUGGCGAACGGGUGAGUAAUGUAUCGGAACGUGCCUAGUAGCGGGGGAUAACUACGCGGCGUAGCUAAUACCGCAUACGCCCUUCGGGGAAAGCGGGGGACCUUCGGGCCUCGCACUAUUAGAGCAGCCCGAUAUCAGCGAGUUAGCUAGUUGGUGGAGUAACGGCUCACCAAGGCGACGAUCCGUAGCUGGUUUGAGAGGACGACCAGCCACACAGGACUGAGACACGGCCCAGACUCCUACGGGGAGGCAGCAGUGGGGAAUUUUGGACAAUGGGGGAAACCCUGAUCCAGCCAUCCCACGUGUGCGAUGAAGGCCUUCGGGUUGUAAAGCACUUUUGGCAGGAAAACGGCACGGGAUAAUACCCCCGUGCAGCUGACGGUACACCUGCAGAAUAAGCACCGGCUAACUACGUGCCAGCAGCCGCGGUAAUACGUAAGUGCAAGCGUUAAUCGGAAUUACUGGGCGUAAAGCGUGCGCAGGCGGUUCGGAAAGAAGAUGUGAAAUCCCAGAGCUUGCUUUGGAACUGCAUUUUUAACUACCGAGCUAGAGUGUGUCAGAGGGAGGUGGAAUUCCACGUGUAGCAGUGAAAUGCGUAGAUAUGCGGAGGAACACCGAUGGCGAAGGCAGCCUCCUGGGAUAACACUGACGCUCAUGCACGAAAAGCGUGGGGAGCAAACAGGAUUAGGUACCUGGUAGUCCACCUAAACGAUGUCAACUAGCUGUUGGGGCCUUCGGGCCUUGGUAGCGCAACUAACGCUGAGGUGACCGCCACUAGGAAGUACGGUCGCAAGAUUAAAACUCAAAGGAAUUGACGGGGACCCGCACAAGCGGUGGAUGAUGUGAUUAAUUCGAUGCAACGCGAAAAACCUUACCUACCCUUGACAUGUACGGAAUCCCAGAGAGAUUUGGGAGUGCUCGCAAGAGAACCGGAACACAGGUGCUGCAUGGCUGUCGUCAGCUCGUGUCGUGAGAUGUUGGGUUAAGUCCGCAACGAGCGCAACCCUUGUCAUUAGUUGCUACGAAAGGGCACUCUAAUGAGACUGCCGGUGACAAACCGGAGAAGGUGAGGAUGACGUCAAGUCCUCAUGGCCCUUAUGGGUAGGGCUUCACGUCAUACAAUGGUCGGGACAGAGGGGUCGCCAGCCCGCGAGGGGGAGCCAAUCCCGAAACCCGAUCGUAGUCCGGAUCGCAGUCUGCAACUCGACUGCGUGAAGUCGGAAUCGCUAGUAAUCGCGGAUCAGCAUGUCGCGGUGAAUACGUUCCCGGGUCUUGUACACACCGCCCGUCACACCAUGGGAGUGGGUUUUACCAGAAGUAGUUAGCCUAACCGUAAGGAGGGCGAUUACCACGGUAGGAUUCAUGACUGGGGUGAAGUCAUCAACAAGGUAA
rnacentral:rRNA from 1 species